rfam:Triticum urartu cultivar G1812 contig856434, whole genome shotgun sequence.
GCCAGCAAGUGUUGAUCAGAUAUCCUACACUCUCAAUGGAAAAAUCCAUGUGUGGACUACUAAUCCCCGCUUAUUAUCUGAUGCCUUG